rnacentral:rRNA from 1 species
AUUGAACGCUGGCGGCAUGCUUUACACAUGCAAGUCGAGCGGCAGCGCGGGGGCAACCCUGGCGGCGAGCGGCGAACGGGUGAGUAACACAUCGGAACGUACCUGGUUGUGGGGGAUAACCUACCGAAAGGUAGGCUAAUACCGCAUGAGCUCGGGAGAGGAAAGCGGGGGACCUGAGAGGGCCUCGCGCGACUGGAGCGGCCGAUGUCCGAUUAGCUAGUUGGUGGGGUAAAGGCUACCAAGGCGACGAUCGGUAGCUGGUCUGAGAGGAUGAUCAGCCACACUGGGACUGAGACACGGCCCAGACUCCUACGGGAGGCAGCAGUGGGGAAUUUUGGACAAUGGGGGCAACCCUGAUCCAGCCAUGCCGCGU